rnacentral:lncRNA from 1 species
UGAGACCGACAAGGGGCAAUGAUUGAGGGGCACAUUGGAGUGAUUAUCAUGGGAAUCUGAUACGGAAGCAGAAGCGGUGGUGAUGACUGAUGAUAUGUGUGAAGAGAACAGACAGACACAUUAAGUGGGGAAGUCGGCGCGUCGACGUUGGACUGAAGAUACAAGGAAGUGCCAGGUGCUGUCUAAUACUACUCAUUUGUUUUUUUGUGAUGUGAGUGACCACUUUUGAUUCAAAACCUUUCUGCCUGUCUAAAUGUUCUAAUUCAAUAGUGUGUUGACCCAAAACCCAAAUCUAUAAAACUGAAAAUGAAUCUGUCCAACUUAAAAUUAUUUCGAGACUUAGUUGGACUAUUAACUUGUUAGAUGGAUGAUCAUUUAAUUUCUCAUAUUUUUUAUUUUUUAUUGAAUUUUAGUUUUUAACAGUGUAAAAUAUAUUAUUAGAUCUUACCUUUUCAUAGGCUAUUGAGGAGUGAAUGAAGAAACGUAAAUAGUGGAUAAACAAUCUCUUAUUAAUUAAAUUAAUCUCAUGAAUUUAAGGAAAUUGGAUAUUUGGCUGUGUGAAUAUGUUUUGUGAGUGAGAUAGAAAGACAUGAUAAGAGAGAAAUUUUGAGAUGAGAAUGAGAGAGUAAAAUGAUGAAAUUUUGAGAUGAGGAUGAGAGAGUAAAAUGAUGAGAGAGAGUAAAAUGAUGAAAGAGAGAUAUAGAGAUAAAUUGUUGCAUAGAGUGUACUAGAGAUGAUACUCCGUGUAUAUAAAUCUAAAUUUAAGAUAUAAAUAUAUAGGGUUUCUUUUUUAAAUCAAUGUAACCCAUAUGCAAAUGUGGAGAUUAAUUCUCUAAAUAAAUGAGAUUUAUUUAAAAGAUUGAUUUCUUCCAACAUAUAAUUUUGUUAACCUUGUGUGUUAGUGUCGUGUACAAUGUCUUUGCCAGUGUUUCAUAGGUUGUUCUUUUUACUUAGUGUUUAUACUUAUUGUGCAUAUCAUGCAUAUGUCAAUACAAUAGAAGAAGAAUCGUUGACGAGGUUGAUUUCUCAACUAAAUUCUAUAUCGAUAAUCGUACCAGCAUGAGGGAUGGUGAAGAUGCUUAGGAUUUUGAAAUCUUAUGGACUUGUUGGAUUAUGAUAAAUGAUAUUUCACAUCUUUUGUAUAUGAAUAAAUAACAAUAAUAAUAGUAACAUGUGAAAAUGUUCAGAAUCAAACAUGUUUCUUUUAUAAAAAAAAAUUGUUUAUAUGAAGAAAAAAAAAAUCUAAGUGGUGUAUAAACUACGUGGAAGGAAAAAGAUGAAACAAUUUGUUUAAAUUUGCCACAAAUGUUUUAGAAAGAACUUGUUUAAAAUAAGGUUAACAAUAGAGACCAAUCUAACUGACUAUAAUUAAUUUUAUAGCCUUUAUAAGUGUUAUUAUGAAAUGAAUUUUGAUCAAGAAAAACGGACAAUACCUCAUAUAGAAAAUAUAUUUGAAUAAUACUUGAAGCAUAAUAAUAGUACAUACAUUAAUUCAUUUAAUAGUCUAAACUUAAUGGACCUCCUUGAAAAUGUCUCCUCAUAACUGAUGUCAUGUGUCUCAGUAUAUCCUUUUGCCACUAGUCUAGACUUGUAACAAUCAAGGGUAUCAUCUCAUUUAUGUGUAACUUCAAAGUCUACCUACAUCCAAUUGGCUUCUUACCUCUCAACAAUCUCCCAAGUUCCAUUUUUCUCACGUGCUUUCAUUUCUUCAUACAUAGUUGGGACUUAAUUUUUGUCUUGCAUUGCUUCAUGAACAUAUGAUGGGAUUUUCACAGAGUCAACAACUAAAAUAAAAAUCUAAUACUGCGAGAAAGAUGUUUAGAGGAGAAAAAUUGAGAAAUAGGUUAUCUAUAUUUAGAGACACAAGAUCUUUUAUCCUUUCUCAAAUAGGUAAAUCAUCUAGAUUGGUAUCAGAAGUCUGAGAAUCACCAAUAAAGGGAUCAUUUUCAGUAUUUGCAUUGACUCGAGCGAUGAAUUAGUACCACAAGUACUAGAAGAAUGGACCCACCAAUAGAGGGAUCAUUUUCAGUAUUUACCUUUGGCUCAAGCGAUUGAAGUUGUUUUUGGAGCAUGUUAGGUUUACUUCUUCUUUGAUAAACAAGAAUUGGCUUACUAGCUCGAUCUUCAACUAGUGGAGACUUGGAUUCAGAAUUAUGAGAUGUAGCAGAAAUACGAGUCUCGUGAUAGUUAGGACCAAGGUCCAUAAAUUCAAACUCAAAUUUCAAGUCAUUCAUUUUCUCCCUUUGAAGUUGAGGGCGAAUGAAGUAAGAAAUAUUUUCAUAAAAGGUUACAUCUUUCGAAACAAAGUACUUAUGACAGAGAGGAUGAUAAUAUUUGUACCCUCUUUUGUUAGGAGGAUAACGCACAAUGACACAUCUAACUACUCGAGAAUCCAACUUAGUUUGGUGUUGCUUAUGAAUAUGGACAAAAACAACAUAUCCAAAUACUCGAGGCUCUAAAUGAUAGAAUUAAAAGGAAAAAGUUAGGUCAUACAUUGAACUAUACUAGCAUUAGUUUAAACACAAGAUGACACACAAUUAAUUAGAUAAAAAGCUAUCAGUACUGCUUCACCCCAAUAUGAUUUUGGGACAGACAUUUGGAAGAGAAGAGCUCAAGUAGCUUUAAGUAGGCGACAAUUUUUCUUUUAUGUAACUCCAUUUUGUUGUGGGGCGUCAACACAUGUGAAUUCAUGAAUAAUCCCUUGUUUACUAUUAAAACUUGAACGAUUGUGAUUGACAUAAUUCUUGUCAUUACCAAAAUGUAAUCUUUUAAUGGCUUUUCCAAAUUGUGUUUGUAUCAUCUUGUAAAAUUGAAUGAACAAUUGAGGUACUUCUAAUUUAUCCUUGAUCAAAUAAAUCCAAGUUACUUGAGUACAAUUAUCAAUAAACAAAACAAACCAUCUCACCACAGAAAUGUUAGAAGUAUGAGCAUAUACAUAAAUAUUAGAAUGAAUAAGAUCAAAUGCAUCAACUAGUAGGACUUGAAGGGAAAUUUGCAUGAUGAUGCUUAGCUUACUGAUAAAUAUCACAUUUAAAUGAUUCAAAAUAUUUUUUAUAAACAAAUAUCACAUCAAAGAGAUAUGAGGAUGACCAAGACGCUUGUGUUGAAGUCGUAUUUGUGAGGCAUGAAAGUCUGGUUGGGGAAUAACAUCUUGUUUUCGCGUGUCAAUGAUAUUGGGGGUAGGCAUGAAUGAUAGUUUGUGACACACGCCACGAUCCAUUAGAUAUUUGUCUCAUUCUGUAUCAUUCCAUUACUUUAAAAUUAUCCAAAAAAAGCAUUGAUAAAUUUGUUAACGAGGAUAUCAUUGGACCAAUGAUCACACCAAUUUUUUUUCCACCAAUACCAAGUUACCAUUUGUUGCUCUCUUAGAUUGGAUACCACUCCAAAGAGAAGAAUUAAUACGACAUGAAAUGGGACCAUGACUUCUCAAGUGUUGGGGAAUCAUGAGAUACAUUUUAAAACUCUUCUUAAAGUUAGUCUCAAGAGCGAAAAAUUAUUUAAGUCAAGGAUCACGUAUACACAAAAUUUCUAAAGAAAGGUUUAUGUGUUGACUUUUGAAGCAUUGGGAGGAUAAAAAUUACCAUCACGGGAAAUCGAUUUUGAAUCAUGCUUUAACUUUGAUCACUAAGUAAAUUAAUAACGUCUCUACAUAGGUCACAUGAGCACAAAAUGGAACGUGGAGCUACCUAAUCUAUGAGGGGAUAGUGGCAAUAAAGAUUACUUGAGAACGUGCUCUUUUACUAUUUAUAGAAAAUGAGUUACUAAAACCCUAAGACUCCAUUUUUUGCUGAGCCCAAAACAACUCAUAAAUGAUUAUAUUUAAUUUAACUCUUUUAAUUAAGUUAAAUUAUAUUUAAUUCAAUUAAUUGUCGACCAUCAUUUACUUGAUCAAAUCAAAUUUAAUUAAAUAAAUUAUAAAUAUAUUAAUGUAUUAAAUCAUAUUUAAUAUGAUUAAAAUCUAAUUAAAUCAAAUCUUAUUUUAUUUAAUCAUUCAUUUCGUUGUCAGUUCAUGUGACCCUUAUGUCAUUCUUGCAACGUUCAAGUCUAUAUUUUUUGAUUCUAGAGUAAACAUACAAAACCAAAGCAUUUCUACGGUUUCACUAUAUCGAGUGGUCCAAGACAUAACUCAUGUUAUGUAGGAGAGACAAAUUCUAUCUAUAUCACUCGCACUCAUCUACAUGGUUUAGUAUAGAUCCAAUAACUACCUUUAUCAUUGUCUUGUUACAGAUAACGUUUGAUGACUUUAAAGCCUACAACUUCCCAUAUAGAAAUCAUAGUGACUUUUAAGUCGAACGACUAGUCAUUAUGGUCACAUGAGAAUCACUAAUGACACUUACACAACAAUUAUGUAGCAUUCUCAUUGCGAAUCAAUUCAAUAUAAUUAUUACUCCUAAUAUUUAUAUCUAUGUGACGACUUGAUAUAUUAUAUUCAUGACCCGUGAUAUGUGAUCAUCAGUCUACUCACAUAAUAGUCUCGAUGUAUCAUUGUCAUCUUAAUUAACAAUAAUAUUUGAAAUACGGUUACUUUAUGAAUAGUAUUCUAAUGUACAAUAUGGUAUCACGAUCAAGUCACACUUGAUGUUCUAUGAAAUGAACUAUUUAUUAUAAGAACUUUAUUAUAUUAUAUAAUUAAUAACAUAAUAAAUGAUGUCUUGUACAUAUAACUAAAAUUAAAUAUUUAAUUUAAAUUCAUAAUAUGAUUAAUAAUCUAUAAUAAAAAAUAGAAUGGCGCUAGGAUUUAUUCAAUAUCAAGACCAUAGCUUUUAAGAGAGUAGCCCAUUAAUUAAUCGAAUUAUUAUUGAUCCCAUGCCUCUUCAUUGAGAGUACACGAUUUUUUCCAAGUUGCAGUGAUGAGUAAAAAUCUCAUGAAUGUUAGCGACCCAAAUAAAAUUCCUUAUCCAUUGGUCUAUUAUUUCCUUUUAGCAUAAAUAUAUGCCAAGAAUAUAUAAAAAAAAACUAUAAAUAAACAUGCCUUGGAUGAUACUUUUGACAAAUUGAACUAUUUCUCCCAAAGAUAAUAAAAAAUGUUUCCAAACUGAAACCUUAGCUUGGGCUCCCAGGCCCAAUUAGUCCACCCUGCACUCGAGGGUCUAAAAACAAAACAAAAAAAAGUCUACAAUUAAAAAACAUAAUCAAAUUUUAUGAACAAAAAAAAAAGACCUAAUUCUUUUUGACAAAUAAAUGAAAGAAAAAAAAAUAGAAUCAAUUUUUCAAUAGUAUUUACAUUUUUUUCUCUUUUUUUUUCUUAUAUUAUUAAUGUUAUUUACAAUUUAAAUAAAUAAUGUUUUUUUUUUAGUUUUUAGUGUUUAUUUUUAUUGAUUGCCCAAUUUUUUAAAUUACAACAAAAUCUCCAAAAUAUUUGACACACUAUAUUGAGUUUUAUCUAUUAUGGGUUGUUGGUUUAGGUUUUCCCUUUUAAAAUAUGACUGCCAAGAUAUAUUGAAGGUAUAGUGUCAAGAGAAAAACCCAAUAAAUCAACAAUAGCCAGCUUCCUAGAAUUAGGAACAGAACCUGCAAAAAUAUUUGAAGAUUCUUCAAAUUAUACAUUGUGGCCUUACAUAAAGAGCAUUAGGAGGAGUUUGGGUACCCCUAGGACCAUUAAUUAAAGCUAGCUUACCAAUAUCAACCAGUUGGGUUAUGCUUCUACUUAAAACUUCUUAUGCGACAUGAUCUUCAAAGUAGAAGCUGACAUGAUUCUCAAUAGCCACAUAAUUAGUAAGAAGCUAAAUGUUGAUGAAUCAAAGAGGUGAUAUGAGGCCUACUCCAAAGAGGAUUACCAAUGCCCCUUAUAUUCCAAAGAUAGCACUUCAUUGGACAAAUUUUAUAGUCCUUACACUUGUACUGUUCCUUGGAUAUAGACCAAGAAUGGUGCUUUUUCCUUAUGCUCUUUUUCUACUGAUUUUUGUAAAGGAGACAAUUUUCAUGUUCC